rnacentral:rRNA from 1 species
UACGGAGGGAGCUAGCGUUAUUCGGAAUUACUGGGCGUAAAGCGCACGUAGGCGGCUUUGUAAGUUAGAGGUGAAAGCCCAGAGCUCAACUCUGGAAUUGCCUUUGAUACUGCAUCGCUUGAAUCCAGGAGAGGUGAGUGGAAUUCCGAGUGUAGAGGUGAAAUUCGUAGAUAUUCGGAAGAACACCAGUGGCGAAGGCGGCUCACUGGACUGGUAUUGACGCUGAGGUGCGAAAGCGUGGGGAGCAAACAGG